rnacentral:rRNA from 1 species
CCUACGGGAGGCAGCAGUCGGGAAUCUUGGACAAUGGGCGAAAGCCUGAUCCAGCAACGCCGCGUGGGCGACGAAGCCCUUCGGGGUGUAAAGCCCUUUUGCCGGGGACGAGGAAGGACGGUACCCGGUGAAAAAGUCCCGACCAACUACGUGCCAGCAGUCGCGGUAAAACGUAGGGGGCAAGCGUUAUCCGGAUUUACUGGGCGUAAAGGGCGUGUAGGUGGCUCGGCAAGUUGGUCGUGAAAGCUCCCGGCCCAACUGGGAGAGGCCGACCAAUCCUGUCGAGCUAGAGGGCAGCAGGGGAGAGUGGAAUUCCCGGUGGAGCGGUGAAAUGCGUAGAUAUCGGGAGGAACACCAGUGGCGAAGGCGGCUCUCUGGGCUGUUCCUGACGCUGAGGCGCGAAAGCGUGGGCAGCGAACCGGAUUAGAUCCCCCUGUAGU